AGAGCGAACGCUGGCGGCAUGCUUAACACAUGCAAGUCGCACGGGCACUUCGGUGUCAGUGGCGGACGGGUGAGUAACGCGUAGGUAUCUAUCCUUGGGUGGGGGACAACGGUUGGAAACGACUGCUAAUACCGCAUAAUAACUGAGGUUUAAAGGCGCAAGUCGCCUGAGGAGGAGCCUGCGUACGAUUAGCUAGUUGGUGGGGUAAAGGCCUACCAAGGCGACGAUCGUUAGCUGGUCUGAGAGGAUGAUCAGCCACAUUGGGACUGAGACACGGCCCAAACUCCUACGGGAGGCAGCAGUGGGAAUAUUGGACAAUGGGCGAAAGCCUGAUCCAGCAAUGCCGCGUGUGUGAAGAAGGUCUUCGGAUUGUAAAGCACUUUCGACAGGGACGAUGAUGACGGUACCUGUAGAAGAAGCCCCGGAUAACUUCGUGCCAGCAGCCGC
rnacentral:rRNA from 1 species